UCCCCCAAUUCUCUCUCCCAUCCCACUGAGGGAGGGGGAAGUGAGUGAGCGGCUGCGUGGUUAAACCACAACAAGCUAUUUUUCUGUAGCUUGGCACAUACUUUCUGUGAUGAUUCCCCUUUCUUUAAUCCCCAGAUUUCCUUGGUAUUGUGAAGAUUUGGAGGCAUUUAUGCUUAUUGGCCAUUUUGUGCAGGUAUACAAAUUAAGAAGCCUGACUUCUUGAUACUCUUUAAAAGCAAAAGCGGAGCUUCGUGCGCACGUCUAAGUCCCAGACUGCCCGAAAUGUUGACAAGGCGGGCUCCAGCCGACGGCCUAACCCCCGGAGCGAGAUGCCAUCUGGGAUAUUUUGGGGUACCGGGGACACCUCCCCAGCCCUCACAGCUCGGCCACCCACCGCCGAGGCCUGCGCUGAGCGCGGGGGCCUCCCUCUGAGACAACCGUCCCUACGGGACGCGUUUCACCGCCGGGAUGGCACUGCGCGUGGGAUGAGAACAACGUUGAAACGGACCACGUGUGACUGAAACGGCGCUAAGCUUCAAAAUCAAAGAACAAGGAGACGGCGUUAAGCUCCAAGAUCAA